GAUGAACGCUGGCGGCGUGCCUAAUACAUGCAAGUAGAACGCUGAAGCUUGGUGCUUGCACCGAGCGGAUGAGUUGCGAACGGGUGAGUAACGCGUAGGUAACCUGCCUCUUAGCGGGGGAUAACUAUUGGAAACGAUAGCUAAUACCGCAUAAAAGUCAAUAUCGCAUGAUAUUGAUUUGAAAGGUGCAAAUGCAUCACUAAGAGAUGGACCUGCGUUGUAUUAGCUAGUUGGUGAGGUAACGGCUCACCAAGGCGACGAUACAUAGCCGACCUGAGAGGGUGAUCGGCCACACUGGGACUGAGACACGGCCCAGACUCCUACGAGAGGCAGCAGUAGGGAAUCUUCGGCAAUGGGGGCAACCCUGACCGAGCAACGCCGCGUGAGUGAAGAAGGUUUUCGGAUCGUAAAGCUCUGUUGUAAGAGAAGAACGAGUGUGAGAGUGGAAAGUUCACACUGUGACGGUAACUUACCAGAAAGGGACGGCUAACUACGUGCCAGCAGCCGCGGUAAUACGUAGGUCCCGAGCGUUAUCCGGAUUUAUUGGGCGUAAAGCGAGCGCAGGCGGUUAGAUAAGUCUGAAGUUAAAGGCUGUGGCUUAACCAUAGUACGCUUUGGAAACUGUUUAACUUGAGUGCAGAAGGGGAGAGUGGAAUUCCAUGUGUAGCGGUGAAAUGCGUAGAUAUAUGGAGGAACACCGGUGGCGAAAGCGGCUCUCUGGUCUGUAACUGACGCUGAGGCUCGAAAGCGUGGGGAGCAAACAGG
rnacentral:rRNA from 1 species